rnacentral:rRNA from 1 species
GGCAUUCACACGUAAUACAAUGGGUCGGUACAGAGGGUAGCCAACCCGCGAGGGGGAGCCAAUCCCAGAAAGCCGAUCGUAGUCCGGAUUGCAGUCUGCAACUCGACUGCAUGGAGUCGGAAUCGCUAGUAAUCGCGGAUCAGCAUGUCGCGGUGAAUACGUUCCCGGGCCUUGUACACACCGCCCGUCACACCAUGGGAGUGGGUUCCACCAGAAGUAGGUAGUCUAACCGCAAGGGGGACGCUUACCACGGUGGGGUUCAUGACUGGGGUGAAGUCGUAACAAGGUAACCGUAA